rnacentral:rRNA from 1 species
CGGCAGCGGGGGAGCUUGCUCCCGCCGGCGAGUGGCGAACGGGUGAGUAAUACAUCGGAACGUACCCAGUAGCGGGGGAUAGCCCGGCGAAAGCCGGAUUAAUACCGCAUACGCCCUACGGGGGAAAGGGGGGGAUCGCAAGACCUCUCACUAUUGGAGCGGCCGAUGGCUGAUUAGCUAGUUGGUGGGGUAAAGGCCUACCAAGGCGACGAUCAGUAGCUGGUCUGAGAGGACGACCAGCCACACUGGGACUGAGACACGGCCCAGACUCCUACGGGAGGCAGCAGUGGGGAAUUUUGGACAAUGGGCGAAAGCCUGAUCCAGCAAUGCCGCGUGUGCGAAGAAGGCCUUCGGGUUGUAAAGCACUUUUGUCAGGGAAGAAAUCGUUUGGGCUAAUACCCCGAGCAGUUGACGGUACCUGAAGAAUAAGCACCGGCUAACUACGUGCCAGCAGCCGCGGUAAUACGUAGGGUGCAAGCGUUAAUCGGAAUUACUGGGCGUAAAGCGUGCGCAGGUGGUUUGUUAAGACAGUUGUGAAAUCCCCGGGCUUAACCUGGGAACUGCAAUUGUGACUGGCAGACUAGAGUGAGGCAGAGGGGGGCGGAAUUCCUGGUGUAGCAGUGAAAUGCGUAGAUAUCAGGAGGAACACCGAUGGCGAAGGCAGCCCCCUGGGCCAUCACUGACACUCAUGCACGAAAGCGU